rnacentral:rRNA from 1 species
AAUCAACGCUGGCGCCGCGCUUAACACAUGCAAGUCGAGCGAGAAAGUGGAGCAAUCCAUGAGUAGAGCGGCGUACGGGUGAGUAACACGUGGGUAAUCUACCUCUGAGUGGGGAAUAACCCUGGGAAACCGGGGCUAAUACCGCAUAAGCCUGAGAAGGGAAAGCGGCAAUGCGCUGGGAGAGGAGCCCGCGGCCGAUUAGCUAGUUGGUGAGGUAAAGGCUCACCAAGGCGGUGAUCGGUAGCCGGCCUGAGAGGGCACACGGCCACACUGGCACUGGGAACGGGCCAGACUCCUACGGGAGGCAGCAGUGGGGAAUCUUGCACAAUGGAGGCAACUCUGAUGCAGCGACGCCGCGUGAGCGAUGAAGCCCUUCGGGGUGUAAAGCUCUUUCGGCAGGGACGAUAAUGACGGUACCUGAAGAAGAAGCUGCGGCUAACUACGUGCCAGCAGCCGCGGUAAU